rnacentral:rRNA from 1 species
CACGUAGGGCGCGAGCAUUGUCCGGAAUUAUUGGGCGUAAAGAGCUCGUAGGCGGCCUGUUGCGUCCGCUGUGAAAGCCCGGGGCUUAACCCCGGGUCGGCAGUGGAUACGGGCAGGCUAGAGGUAGGUAGGGGAGAAUGGAAUUCCCGGUGUAGCGGUGAAAUGCGCAGAUAUCGGGAGGAACACCGGUGGCGAAGGCGGUUCUCUGGGCCUUACCUGACGCUGAGGCGCGAAAGCGUGGGGAGCAAACAGG